ensembl:lncRNA
GGGGGGGGGGCGGGGGCCGUAGACGUAUCAACCCAACUGCAUUACAUAGUCCUUCAGAAUUGUUAAGUGCUGACUGCCCUGUUCAUAGGACUAAAGGGGGCAAAGUGCAAAGAGGAUUGUGAUGCGCUCCUAUAAUGAAUCUUUCAGUGAAGAAUAGAGGGUGUGAGGUUUGGACCACUCUGAAGGCAGCGAGGGUGUGAGGUUUAGACCACUCUGAAGGCAGUGAGGGUGUGAGGUUUAGACCACUCUGAAGGCAGCGAGGGUGUGAGGUUUAGACCACUCUGAAGGCAGCGAGGGUGUGAUUUGGGACAGAACGCUGUCAGUGUUGACAGCCAUGGAGACUGUAGACGGAGGUGCUUCAGCAUGUAUGCAAGACAGUGCCCUCAUUGCUCUGCGUUAGGUCCGUCUUCCUUCAAAAGUCCGCCCGACACACUCGCUCGCUCACACACACACACACACACACACACACACACACACACACACACAAGUGAUGAGCGUGAGGUUAGGUUCAGUCCAGCGCUAUGAAACAGGAAGCCCGGGAAUGCUGCACCAAAGACUAGUCUACACUAGCAAACUAGAAAUCAGACGAGUUGAGAACACACACAAAAACACCUCUGAGAUGUAGAGCCGUCUUUUUGUUUGUUUGCUUUGGUUUUUGUUCAUUUAUCUUCGUUGUUAUUUACCUGUCCUUAUCUUGUAGACUUAGAUAUGACCCAGACCUCAACGUGUAGGUGUUUGUACCUGUGCCAGAAUGGAAGAAUGAUGAUGAUGAUGAUGAUGAUGGCUUACACUGCUUCAGUUUGCUCUGCUGAUCACAGGGCCUCACUCCCCGGUCGCAGCUAACUUUGGGUCCAAGUGGUGUGCGUGUUGCAUGGAUCAAACCGAGAUUUUCACUAGGUUUCGUCAGUGCCGAACGUCACUGCUCAUAAAUAUGUAACGCCUGUGCCAAUGACAGGAGCUUUUCUCUCUCUGAGUUGUAUUUCUUGUAUAUUUUCAUUGUUGUGCCAUGUUGAAAUGUAGUAUUUAGACAAAUGACGGUAUUGGAAGAGGAUGGUCACAGGAAGGCUGAAGGUGGUAUUUGAUGAAGCAAAGACAAGUGUGUGUAAGGAAACAUUUAAUUGUACAAGAUAGAUGUGAAAAUCAAAUAGAAUGAAGAAUGAAGGCACUCUCCUAACAAUCAGCAGAGGCUCUUAAACUACCUUCUCAUCUCUCUGUAGCAUUUUAGCCAGCCUGCCCCUAAACCAUCACUGAAAGAGCACUGUGCACUUAGUGUCUUCACGUUUGUUUAUUCAUUGGCUUACACACGCUUGGGCGUGUGUGUGUGUGUGUGUGUGUGAAGAUCAAAUUAACCGAUCAAAAUGAAGUCAAACACAAAACCUGGCUUUUGUUUACACAUUCUGUUCUUAAUACUUGAAUCGGGAGCGUGGAUGAAGCUGCUUUUGUGACGAGGGCAUGCUAAGGGAAGGGGGAA